UAAGGAAUAUUGGUCAAUGGACGCAAGUCUGAACCAGCCAUGCCGCGUGAAGGAUGAAGGUCCUCUGGAUUGUAAACUUCUUUUAUCUGGGACGAAAACGGGAUUUUUAUCCCAAUUGACGGUACCAGAGGAAUAAGCACCGGCUAACUCCGUGCCAGCAGCCGCGGUAAUACGGCGGUUGCGAGCGUUAUCCGGAUUUACUGGGUUUAACGGGUGCGUAGGCGGAUGAAUAAGUCAGUGGUGAAAUCUCCGAGCUUAACUCGGAAACUGCCGUUGAUACUAUUUGUCUUGAAUAUUGUGGAGGUAAGCGGAAUAUGUCAUGUAGCGGUGAAAUGCGUAGAUAGGACAUAGAACACCAAUUGCGAAGGCAGCUUGCUACACAAUCAUUGACGCUGAGGCACGAAAGCGUGGGGAUCAAACA
rnacentral:rRNA from 1 species